rnacentral:rRNA from 1 species
AUUCCAGCUCCAAUAGCGUAUAUUAAAGUUGUUGCAGUUAAAAAGCUCGUAGUUGGAUUUCGGGAUGAGAAGCAUGGUCUACCGAAAGGUGUGUACUAGGCGGCUCAUUCUUCCUUCUGUAGACCUUUGUGGUUCUUGAUUGGAUUGCAGAGUGGAUGCAGAACGUUUACUUUGAAUAAAUUAGAGUGUUCAAAGCAGGCAUUUGCUUGAAUACAUUAGCAUGGAAUAAUGGAAUAGGACUUUGGUUCUAUUUUGUUGGUUUCUAGGACCGAAGUAAUGAUUAAUAGGGAUAGUUGGGGGCAUUAAUAUUUAAUUGUCAGAGGUGAAAUUCUUGGAUUUAUGAAAGAUUAACUUCUGCGAAAGCAUUUGCCAAGGAUGUUUUCAUUG